UACGGGGGGAGCAAGCGUUGUUCGGAUUUACUGGGCGUAAAGGGCGCGUAGGCGGCCACCGCAAGUCAAUUGUGAAAUCUCCGGGCUUAACUCGGAAAGGUCAACUGAUACUGCGGGGCUAGAGUGCGGAAGGGGCAACUGGAAUUCUCGGUGUAGCGGUGAAAUGCGUAGAUAUCGGGAGGAACACCAGUGGCGAAGGCGGCUAUCUGGCCUGCAACUGACGCUGAGGCACGAAGGCUAGGGGAGCGAACAGG
rnacentral:rRNA from 1 species